CUGAUCUUUCGAUGAGAGGCGCUGGAUAACUCGAUUAGUGGAUGGAGAUGACGUUUACGGCCCGACUACAGCCCUCAAGACCGCGCCUUAGCAACCGAUACACCACGUCCAACAGCCGUCACGAUCUUGUGGAGCGCAACAACCAGCCCCUAGGGCUCCCGUCCUGCAAGCAAUCGAAGAACUAGCAAGAACGAGGAAACAAGCACUGAAUUUGCA
rnacentral:lncRNA from 1 species